GGACGCGGCUUCCCUCCCCUUCGGCCGCCCCGCCCCCGCCCCGCCCGCCGGAAAACCGAGGGGGUCUUCCCUGCCGGCGGGGUCCGGCCUGUUGGGCGGCGCAGGACUGCUGCCCUCGGCUCCAAGACCAACAGGCAGGGGCAUCUGGGGGUUAGGAUGGUCCAGGUCAGCCCGGUGGGACCCGGGCAAGUCCCACAAGACCCCGCCUCGGUUUCCUGCUCUGCACGGGGACCCGCUCAUUGGACCUACCUUGGACGGUGCCGGCAAGGGCCAAAUGACAAGAACCAAGUGAUGCUGGCCCAUGCUGGGACCUAAGCAGACGCUCACUCUGCCUUCCAUCGCUCCAGGACGGACCACAUCCUGGUCUCCUCAGCCCUAUGCCCCAGACUGCACAGAACAGGACACCCAGGGCUAAGCUUCGGCUUGACAGCGUCUGGAGGGCCCCGUGGGAGAAGGCCGGGGGUCUGCUCCGGGUCCUGCUUUGUGGGUGCUGUCUGAACACUCUACACCCAGGGGCACCUGAGCACAUCGGGGCAGCAGGGCGCGUCGGCAGG